GAUGAACGCUGGCGGCGUGCCUAAUACAUGCAAGUCGAGCGAACGGACGAGAAGCUUGCUUCUCUGAUGUUAGCGGCGGACGGGUGAGUAACACGUGGAUAACCUACCUAUAAGACUGGGAUAACUUCGGGAAACCGGAGCUAAUACCGGAUAAUAUUUUGAACCGCAUGGUUCAAAAGUGAAAGACGGUCUUGCUGUCACUUAUAGAUGGAUCCGCGCUGCAUUAGCUAGUUGGUAAGGUAACGGCUUACCAAGGCAACGAUGCAUAGCCGACCUGAGAGGGUGAUCGGCCACACUGGAACUGAGACACGGUCCAGACUCCUACGGGAGGCAGCAGUAGGGAAUCUUCCGCAAUGGGCGAAAGCCUGACGGAGCAACGCCGCGUGAGUGAUGAAGGUCUUCGGAUCGUAAAACUCUGUUAUUAGGGAGGAACAUAUGUGUAAGUAACUGUGCACAUCUUGACGGUACCUAAUCAGAAAGCCACGGCUAACUACGUGCCAGCAGCCGCGGUAAUACGUAGGUGGCAAGCGUUAUCCGGAAUUAUUGGGCGUAAAGCGCGCGUAGGCGGUUUUUUAAGUCUGAUGUGAAAGCCCACGGCUCAACCGUGGAGGGUCAUUGGAAACUGGAAAACUUGAGUGCAGAAGAGGAAAGUGGAAUUCCAUGUGUAGCGGUGAAAUGCGCAGAGAUAUGGAGGAACACCAGUGGCGAAGGCGACUUUCUGGUCUGUAACUGACGCUGAUGUGCGAAAGCGUGGGGAUCAAACAGGAUUAGAUACCCUGGUAGUCCACGCCGUAAACGAUGAGUGCUAAGUGUUAGGGGGUUUCCGCCCCUUAGUGCUGCAGCUAACGCAUUAAGCACUCCGCCUGGGGAGUACGACCGCAAGGUUGAAACUCAAAGGAAUUGACGGGGACCCGCACAAGCGGUGGAGCAUGUGGUUUAAUUCGAAGCAACGCGAAGAACCUUACCAAAUCUUGACAUCCUUUGACAACUCUAGAGAUAGAGCUUUCCCCUUCGGGGGACAAAGUGACAGGUGGUGCAUGGUUGUCGUCAGCUCGUGUCGUGAGAUGUUGGGUUAAGUCCCGCAACGAGCGCAACCCUUAAGCUUAGUUGCCAUCAUUAAGUUGGGCACUCUAAGUUGACUGCCGGUGACAAACCGGAGGAAGGUGGGGAUGACGUCAAAUCAUCAUGCCCCUUAUGAUUUGGGCUACACACGUGCUACAAUGGACAAUACAAAGGGCAGCGAAACCGCGAGGUCAAGCAAAUCCCAUAAAGUUGUUCUCAGUUCGGAUUGUAGUCUGCAACUCGACUACAUGAAGCUGGAAUCGCUAGUAAUCGUAGAUCAGCAUGCUACGGUGAAUACGUUCCCGGGUCU
rnacentral:rRNA from 1 species